ACUCCUACGGGAGGCAGCAGUGGGGAAUAUUGCACAAUGGGGGAAAGCCCAUGAUGCAGCCAUGCCCGCGCUGUGUGAAGAAGGCCAAUUCGGGGCUUUGGUUAAAGACACUUUUCAGUAGGGAGGAAGGUAGUGUAGUUAACACCUGCAUUAUUUGACGUACCUACAGAAGAAGCACCGGCUAACUCCGUGCCAGCAGCCGCGGUAAUACGGAGGGUGCGAGCGUUAAUCGGAAUUACUGGGCGUAAAGCGCAUGCAGGCGGCCUGUUAAGUCAGAUGUGAAAAGCCCGGGGCUUAACCUCGGAAUUGCAUUUGAAACUGGCA
rnacentral:rRNA from 1 species